UACGAAGGUCCCAAGCGUUAUCCGGAUUUAUUGGGUUUAAAGGGUGCGUAGGCGGGUUAUUAAGUCAGUGGUGAAAGCCUUCAGCUUAACUGAAGAAUUGCCAUUGAUACUGAUGAUCUUGAGUAUGAUUGAGGUGGGCGGAAUGUGUCAUGUAGCGGUGAAAUGCUUAGAUAUGACACAGAACACCGAUUGCGAAGGCAGCUCACUAAGCCAUAACUGACGCUGAUGCACGAAAGCGUGGGAGCAAACAGG
rnacentral:rRNA from 1 species